rnacentral:rRNA from 1 species
GAUGAACGCUGGCGGCGUGCCUAAUACAUGCAAGUCGAGCGAACAGAUGAGGAGCUUGCUCCUCUGACGUUAGCGGCGGACGGGUGAGUAACACGUGGAUAACCUACCUAUAAGACUGGGAUAACUUCGGGAAACCGGAGCUAAUACCGGAUAAUAUAUUGAACCGCAUGGUUCAAUAGUGAAAGACGGUUUUGCUGUCACUUAUAGAUGGAUCCGCGCCGCAUUAGCUAGUUGGUAGGUAACGGCUUACCAAGGCAACGAUGCGUAGCCGACCUGAGAGGGUGAUCGGCCACACUGGAACUGAGACACGGUCCAGACUCCUACGGGAGGCAGCAGUAGGGAAUCUUCCGCAAUGGGCGAAAGCCUGACGGAGCAACGCCGCGUGAGUGAUGAAGGUCUUCGGAUCGUAAAACUCUGUUAUUAGGGAAGAACAAAUGUGUAAGUAACUAUGCAUGUCUUGACAGUACCUAAUCAGAAAGCCACGGCUAACUACGUG